UAAAAAUUAAAAUUUAAUUUAAAAAUUUUGUACAGAUUAAAAUAUCUUAAUGUAGCACAAUUUGAAAAGAAGCAGGCUAUAGUGGAAAGGACCAGAAUUUGAUAUCUAGGUUCAUGGAUAAUUCUGCCCUUUUAUUGCUUAUGCAAAUCUGUGAAAGUCUUAAGCCUUGAGACUCAGUUAUACAUUUAUGACUUGGGGAAAAUAAUACUUGCCCUACUGUCUUAGUUUAUAAAGCUUGCCAUAACAAAAUACUGCAGACCAAGUAGCUUAAACAAGUUUUCCUCCACCCAUUCCCCCAUCCCCCCCACCCCCACCCACCCGCACCCACCCCAACCCCCCCUCCCGCAGUUCUGGAGGCUGAAAGUCCAUGAUCAAGGGCUUGGCUGGGUUGGUUUUUCUUGAAGCCUCUCUCCUUGUCUUGUAAAUAACCCCUCCUUGCUGUAACCUCAAAUGGCCUUUCCUCUCAGGGAGUUCAUCUUUAGGGGCUCUUCCUCUUCUUAUGAGGAUACUAGGGAUUGGGGCCCUACCCCAAUGGUCUCAUUUUAAUUUAAUCACCUCUUUAAAGACCCUAUCCCCAAAAAUAGUUACAUCUGUGGUUCUGGAGAUUGGGAUUUCCACAUGUAAACUUUGAGGAAACACAAUUCAGUCCAUUAUACCUACUUUCUACAUUCACUCAUUUGCUGAGAUCUAUUGGGGUUCCUUCAUGUUCCAUCCUGUGCUAGGCAAUGAGGACUGAAUGAGAGGAUCAAAUGAGAUAGAUGCCCUUUUGAAACUAAAUUAUUUUUUUAAAUGAAGGCAGACCCCAUCCGGCAUAAUUCUUUGCUUACAGGAAAUAAUUAAAGUGGAAUUAAGUGAAGAAGAUGGAAAUUUUCUAAAAAGGAAGAAAAGGCAAGUGUGGACAAAUUUAUUGAAUAGCCCUGAUAUGUGCCAGGCACUGAUUAUAAGAUUUAUAUAAAUUGUCUCAUUUAAUCCUUACUUCUACCCUGCUGGAAAGACAUUAUCAAAAUCAUUUUCCAGACGCCUGGGUGGCUUAGCAGUUGA
rnacentral:lncRNA from 1 species